rnacentral:rRNA from 1 species
UACGGAGGGUGCAAGCGUUGUCCGGAAUCACUGGGCGUAAAGGGCGCGUAGGCGGCUCAUGAAGGCUGUGGUGAAAGUCCGGGGCUCAACCCCGGGUCGGCAGUGGAUACGGGCAGGCUAGAGGUAGGUAGGGGAGAAUGGAAUUCCCGGUGUAGCGGUGAAAUGCGCAGAUAUCGGGAGGAACACCGGUGGCGAAGGCGGUUCUCUGGGCCUUACCUGACGCUGAGGAGCGAAAGCGUGGGGAGCGAACAGG